rnacentral:rRNA from 1 species
GUUAAAAAGCUCGUAGUUGGAUUUCUGUUGAAGCCGGUCGGUCCGCUCUAUGAGCGUGUAUCUGAUGCGGCUUUAGCAUCCUUGUGGGGAACGUAACUGUGCUUGAUUGCAUGGUGCGGGAUUCACAACUUUUACUUUGAGGAAAUUAGAGUGUUCACGGCAGGCAAGCGCCUUGAAUAUGUUAGCAUGGAAUAAUAUUAUAGGACUUUUGUUCUAUUUUGUUGGCUUCUAGGACGAAAGUAAUGAUUAAUAGGG